UACGGAGGGUGCGAGCGUUGUCCGGAAUCACUGGGCGUAAAGGGCGCGUAGGCGGUUGCGUAAGUCAUCUGUGAAAUCCCGGAGCUCAACUCCGGGGCUGCAGGUGAGACUGCGUGACUAGAGCACAGUAGAGGCGAGUGGAAUUCCCGGUGUAGCGGUGGAAUGCGUAGAUAUCCGGAGGAACACCAGUGGCGAAGGCGGCUUCCUGGACCGACACUGACGCUGAGGCGCGAAAGCUAGGGGAGCAAACGGG
rnacentral:rRNA from 1 species